AUCCUGGCUCAGGAUGAACGCUGGCGGCGUGCUUAACACAUGCAAGUCGAACGAUGAUCCCAGCUUGCUGGGGGAUUAGUGGCGAACGGGUGAGUAACACGUGAGUAACCUGCCCUUGACUCUGGGAUAAGCCUGGGAAACUGGGUCUAAUACCGGAUAUGACUCCUCAUCGCAUGGUGGGGGGUGGAAAGCUUUUGUGGUUUUGGAUGGACUCGCGGCCUAUCAGCUUGUUGGUGGGGUAAUGGCCUACCAAGGCGACGACGGGUAGCCGGCCUGAGAGGGUGACCGGCCACACUGGGACUGAGACACGGCCCAGACUCCUACGGGAGGCAGCAGUGGGGAAUAUUGCACAAUGGGCGCAAGCCUGAUGCAGCGACGCCGCGUGAGGGAUGACGGCCUUCGGGUUGUAAACCUCUUUCAGUAGGGAAGAAGCGUAAGUGACGGUACCUGCAGAAGAAGCGCCGGCUAACUACGUGCCAGCAGCCGCGGUAAUACGUAGGGCGCAAGCGUUAUCCGGAAUUAUUGGGCGUAAAGAGCUCGUAGGCGGUUUGUCGCGUCUGCUGUGAAAGACCGGGGCUCAACUCCGGUUCUGCAGUGGGUACGGGCAGACUAGAGUGCAGUAGGGGAGACUGGAAUUCCUGGUGUAGCGGUGAAAUGCGCAGAUAUCAGGAGGAACACCGAUGGCGAAGGCAGGUCUCUGGGCUGUAACUGACGCUGAGGAGCGAAAGCAUGGGGAGCGAACAGGAUUAGAUACCCUGGUAGUCCAUGCCGUAAACGUUGGGCACUAGGUGUGGGGGACAUUCCACGUUUUCCGCGCCGUAGCUAACGCAUUAAGUGCCCCGCCUGGGGAGUACGGCCGCAAGGCUAAAACUCAAAGGAAUUGACGGGGGCCCGCACAAGCGGCGGAGCAUGCGGAUUAAUUCGAUGCAACGCGAAGAACCUUACCAAGGCUUGACAUGAACCGGAAAGACCUGGAAACAGGUGCCCCGCUUGCGGUCGGUUUACAGGU
rnacentral:rRNA from 1 species